UUGGGGAUAAGGUUUACAAAUGACCAAAAGUUAACACAAACAGCCUUGAGAGAGAGAGAGAGAGAGAGUGUGCGUAUGUCACAAAGGUGGGAACAAAGGGAGUGGGGUAGGGUUCUAGGAGUGGGUCCUGAUUUCCCAAGAAAAGAACCACCAAUCCAGGACCAACACAGCUAUAGCAGGGCCUCUUGAGCCACUGAAGGCAGCACCAGACACUGGCUUCUCCUCUCUUCCUGUACAUUAUCUUCAUUCUUCUAUCUAUAGACUACCUUUAUCUUCUAAGUGAAAACAUGACUGUCAGCAGCUUUCAAGCUUUAUCAUUUACAGAGCUUGCCUGAAGACAGACUGAUUCCAUUCUCUAGGUCUCCAAGCCCAGAAAGCUCAGAGAAAGACUUCGAUUGGUCUGAGUUAGGCCAGCUGUCCACCCCUGAACUAUCCAGAGCAGCCCUGCAGCUGGGCCGUUCCCAGAGAGAGGGAUGGAUAAAGGCACUCACUCUACAUAAGGAACAGCUCUAGUUUCCUUCCUUAAUUAAGAAGUAGUUUCACUUAAAAAAAAAAAUCUCUAAACACUGACUAAAAUGCUAUAAUGAAGUGAGCAACCAGGGGUAAAGAAGUACUAAUAAUUUCAAAGGCAGACACAAGUAUGAUUUGGAGAAGAAACAGCAGUCAUAGAUAAAUCAAAUUAUCAAUAAACGUAACACAUUGAUAGAGAGCUUUAAUGAAGAGCCAAUAAGCACAUGAACAGGAUGCUUCGUGUAUGAAACCCUCAUUGAAUACUGUGAAAGUUGUCAGGAUAAAAAUAGAGUCACUUGUGACAAAAUGGAGCUGGGAAAGGCCAUGAAGGAAGGGUUCUUAAUGCUCAAUCGCCUGAAAACAAGAACUGUUACAAAAGACUAUACCAAAACCACAACCUUGUACAAAGGCCACUGCAACCUUAUGCAAAAAAAAACUUCUGCAAGGACAUCUGCCCAGCAGUUGCCUGCCUAACCUUGGACUGAUGCCACCCUUAUUAUUGAUCCCUGUAAGCAAGGAUAAUUGUUUCAAAACAACUUAUGUAACCCUCCCCAUUUUAGCUUUAAAAAUUGCUGUCUUCCCUUGCCUCUUUGAAUGUGCCCAUAGUUUACUCGGCAUGUGUGUUCCACACUACAAUGCUUACUCUUGAAUACACUUAUUAUCUUUGGAGAAUCUCUCUCUGUUAUUUAGCUUGACAGUAUAUUCACUGAAAAUUUAAACUUGUUACUGAAUAAAGUCAUUAAAAUGAUGGAUUUUGUCUUCCAUUUUACUCUUUUAUUGAUACAUUUUUUUUGAGAAUAAGAAUCUC
rnacentral:lncRNA from 1 species